GAGCCCGAAAGGGGAAAGAUUUAUCGGCAAAUGAUCGGCCCGCGUUGGAUUAGCUAGUUGGUGGGGUAAAGGCCUACCAAGGCGACGAUCCAUAGCUGGUCUGAGAGGAUGAUCAGCCACACUGGGACUGAGACACGGCCCAGACUCCUACGGGAGGCAGCAGUGGGGAAUAUUGGACAAUGGGCGCAAGCCUGAUCCAGCCAUGCCGCGUGAGUGAUGAAGGCCCUAGGGUUGUAAAGCUCUUUCACCGGUGAAGAUAAUGACGGUAACCGGAGAAGAAGCCCCGGCUAACUUCGUGCCAGCAGCCGCGGUAAUACGAAGGGGGCUAGCGUUGUUCGGAUUUACUGGGCGUAAAGCGCACGUAGGCGGGCUAAUAAGUCAGGGGUGAAAUCCCGGGGCUCAACCCCGGAACUGCCUUUGAUACUGUUAGUCUUGAGUAUGGUAGAGGUGAGUGGAAUUCCGAGUGUAGAGGUGAAAUUCGUAGAUAUUCGGAGGAACACCAGUGGCGAAGGCGGCUCACUGGACCAUUA
rnacentral:rRNA from 2 species